ensembl:lncRNA
GUGCUCUUCAUUUAUGGAGGCUGUUGAGUCUGAAUGUUGGAUGUUGUGUAUCUCGUGUUCUCUGGGCUUUGUUGUCCUCAGUCUUUUUGCAGGAUCACAAAACAAAACCAGGAGGCGCGUAAAUGUUUCUUCUCCAUGAUGUUUCUUCAAAUGUUUCUUCUGGAUGAUGAUAAGACUGUGACACGGGAUGCCACCUUUGGUCUUGUGAUGAAGCAAAGCUCAGGAAGAAGUGUGAUUAAAUGGUACCCACAUGUGUGCUGCUGAGAAGGAUGUACAAGGGCACCUGCAGCCAAAUCCAAGCCUCAGAGCAGCGCGGCAGUUUGUGCUCACAGAUGGUGACGGUGUGGAGAGACGGUGGUGUUUCCUCAGAAGAACCAGCAGAGUCACUUGCUGACUGAUGUUCGUCUGCACUGCACAGAGGAAAUCAACUGACCGAGGAGUGUUUCUGAGUGAGGGGGAGAGGAGUCAUCAUCCAGGUAAAGUGACGUGGAUCAGUGGAUACACUUGUCUCCCCUUUAAAGGAGACAAUCCAAGUCAUCCUUAAAUAUGGGCAGCAUAUCAGUCUUGGACUGUCUAACCUGCCGGAGCAGCACUGAAUGACCACCACACAUGAGCAUGUUCCUGCAACAUUCAGCAUCUGAUCCUUCAUCUGUGUGCUUCUGCUUUUGUGUCACAUGUCAAACAGCUGGAGAGGAAACUACACCAGUGUACUGAGAUGUUUCACCAACACGUGCCAGAUGCUGUUCCUUCAUGGUGACAUCACCAGAGACAGCCCCACCCACCUCAGGACCUCGCCAUUGAUCAUGAUGAUUAUAAUGAUGACAGCGAGCGGAACUAAGACUGUAAAAAUCCACGACCAGAAUGUUUCUUUCUAAUUAUUAAUGAAUACUGAGAGCCUCGUUCUGUGUUUUGUCUGUUUUGGUUGUGUUUGUUUUACCUCAUUUGUUACUAACAAAGUUCACAAACUCACACAGUUUACAUUCUGUAUGUUUCCAUCUUUACCAGCCACACUCUAACUGCAUUUAAGAAAAUAAUCCUUAGAAAUCGUCGUUUUUCUCUUUUGUAAUUGAUGAUAAUUCAGUGAAUAUACUGUGCUGCUUCCUUUUAUUGCGUCACACAUUGCUUUAUGUUUUUCAGUGUCCAGUUAUUUUUUACUGCUGUUUGAAUUCUCUGUAUGUUUGACCCUGUAGACUGUUUGAUGGACUGCUUGUCUUCCUGUUUGUAACUGCCGCCUGUUUUUUAAUAAAGAUUUGGAUUUCUGACUUCAACACAGCCUCUGCGUGUCCUCCCUUUGUGUCCUCUUCCUCUGUGAAUGUGUUGCAUGUGUCACAGAUUCAUUUUAUUAACAGCUUUCCCACAGUGAGU